CUCCGUGGCGUCACUACCCGGGGCAUUAUCCAGCUCCUCCAGAAGCCGCGGCCGCCGGGCGCCGGGCCGGGGCUGAGACCUGCUUCCCCAGGCUCGUCCUCGGUCUCGCGUUGCUGACGCAGCCGGCGUAGGGCGCU
rnacentral:antisense_RNA from 1 species